UACGUAGGGUGCGAGCGUUGUCCGGAAUUAUUGGGCGUAAAGAGCUUGUAGGCGGUUGUUUAAGUUUGGUGUGAAAUCUCCCGGCUCAACUGGGAGGGUGCGCCGAAUACUGAAUGACUUGGAGUGCGGGAGAGGAAAGUGGAAUUCCUGGUGUAGCGGUGAAAUGCGUAGAUAUUGGGAGGAACACCAGUGGCGAAGGCGGCUCACUGGACCGGAACUGACGCUGAGGCGCGAAAGCGUGGGGAGCAAACGGG
rnacentral:rRNA from 1 species